GGGAAGGUGGCUCAGUGGUAGAGCGCUUGCCUUGCAAGCCUGAGGCCCUGGGUUC
rnacentral:tRNA from 1 species